AUUGAACGCUAGCGGGAUGCUUUACACAUGCAAGUCGAACGGCAGCGCGGACUUCGGUCUGGCGGCGAGUGGCGAACGGGUGAGUAAUGUAUCGGAACGUGCCCAGUAGCGGGGGAUAACUACGCGAAAGCGUAGCUAAUACCGCAUACGCCCUACGGGGGAAAGCAGGGGAUCGUAAGACCUUGCACUAUUGGAGCGGCCGAUAUCGGAUUAGCUAGUUGGUGAGGUAACGGCUCACCAAGGCGACGAUCCGUAGCUGGUUUGAGAGGACGACCAGCCACACUGUGACUGAGACACGGCCCAGACUCCUACGGGAGGCAGCAGUGGGGAAUUUUGGACAAUGGGGGCAACCCUGAUCCAGCCAUCCCGCGUGUGCGAUGAAGGCCUUCGGGUUGUAAAGCACUUUUGGCAGGAAAGAAACGUCGCGGGCUAAUACCCCGUGGAACUGACGGUACCUGCAGAAUAAGCACCGGCUAACUACGUG
rnacentral:rRNA from 1 species